rnacentral:rRNA from 1 species
CCUACGGGAGGCAGCAGUAGGGAAUCUUCCACAAUGGGCGAAAGCCUGAUGGAGCAACGCCGCGUGGGUGAAGAAGGUCUUCGGAUCGUAAAACCCUGUUAUUAGAGAAGAAAGUGCGUGAGAGUAACUGUUCACGUUUCGACGGUAUCUACCCAGAAAGCAACGGCUAACUACGUGCCAGCAGCCGCGGUAAUACGUAGGUGGCAAGCGUUAUCCGGAUUUAUUGGGCGUAAAGGGAACGAAGGCGGUCUUUUAAGUCUGAUGUGAAAGCCUUCGGCUUAACCGGAGUAGUGCAUUGGAAACUGGGAGACUGGAGUGCAGAAGAGGAGAGUGGAACUCCAGGUGUAGCGGUGAAAUGCGUAGAUAUAUGGAAGAACACCAGUGGCGAAAGCGGCUCUCUGGUCUGUAACUGACGCUGAGGUUCGAAAGCGUGGGUAGCAAACAGGAUUAGAUACCCGGGUAGUC